rnacentral:lncRNA from 1 species
UGUUGAUGAACAGAGCUGGAUUUUCCCCUACCUCCAUUCCCGCAAAACAAGGAGACUCAGAAGAUAAAUCUUGUUUUGUUAUUGCAAGUAGUGCUAUGUGGUUAAACAGAGAUUCACUGUAUCACCAGCAUACUGGCACUGGUAGGGACUGAAGGCUGAUGUUCCCUUGCUCUGCUCACACCAUGGGUCCAGCAGGAGCUGUGUGGCCCAAGCCAAUAGACUGUCAAGCCCGACCAUUAAAUCCACCCACAUGGCUUUCAUUUUGUUCAAAACAUUUGAGGAGCAAACAGAGGCCUGACUCCAGAAGACCUUGAAAAAGGGAUCACUGCACUGCAAAAAGUGGUGUCUGAGACCUUAUUAUGCUAUGAAGAACUACACAGACCACAUCACCUUCCUCUGGAAAAGCAUAGCUGGGAUUUGAGAAUAUCUUGCACAGGUUAAUAGAAAACAGUGGAAAGUAUACUUCAAUUUCUCUAAACCUAUACUAUGCUCUUACACGGAAAAGAAGACUGUAAUGACAGUCCUAGAGAAUAGCUUUUUCUGUUCCACCUUUGGGAGGCCAGGGGGCUCUUCUGCCACUGAUAAAUUUGUUAGGUAUGACAAAAGUGAAGGUGACACAAAACAACGGUACUGCUUAUGUGCUGCUUCAAAGUAAUUGAAGGAUGUUAUAAUGGUAUAUGCAUGUAAAGACAAAUUAAUCAGUA